AUGAUGCAUGCCUAACAAAGAGGGAAAACACAACUAAAAGAUAGUAUUUCUGAUGAUUUUUGCAAAUCUUUCGAUUAGUUUUGAAAAUAUUAGUUGUAAAUCUGAUUCUUAACGAUUUCCAACCUAAACUUAUAGGGUCACAACCUAUGGUCAAGCCAGGCUCUGAUACCACUUCUGUGGGGAUAUACCUGAAAUAAAC
rnacentral:lncRNA from 1 species